GAUGAUAUGUGAAUGAAGAUGUGAAAAAUAGAUGUUUUGGAUCGUGUAAAAAAAAUUUGUAGGGUACCCUGAAGGGUGUCCCUCAAUAAAAGGGGAAUAUAUAUAUAUCUCCCAGGUUGCCCUUGCCUUGUUGGGACUGUCACCGUAUUCAUCUAUUUUGUUGUUUCCAAUUAGAUGUCUUAAUGAUUUUCACCUGGGUUUGGAUUGUUAUAAAAAAAAAUAUAUAAAAAAACAAAAAAAACUGCAGGGGAUCCUAAUGGCUUAAAUAAAAUUGAAUUUCAUUAAGGCAUCUAAUUUGGACCAACAAAUGAACACAAUGCUUCAAGAAAAUACUAUAAUAACAACCAUCUAAUUGAGUGGUCAAAUGGUUUCGGAUUCAAUUUCAUUUUUUGCAAAGAUGAUCUUUGAG
rnacentral:lncRNA from 1 species